UUAAAUUGGUUUGAAUGCAUGGGAGGGAGAGAAAGAAAAUAGUUUUGUUUGAAAUUUUUUAAAUUUUUCUACUAUCUCAUUCUAUAAAUAUCACAUCUCACACAUUCAUUUUUUCACUCAACUAACUUCAUCUUAUUCAUUUUAUUAUCUUAUUUUCUUCACUCUCUUUAUUUUAUAAAUAAUGGCAUCUUCGUCCAAUGGUUGCCAUAAUUUUUCU
rnacentral:lncRNA from 1 species